rnacentral:rRNA from 1 species
GGCGGCAGGCCUAACACAUGCAAGUCGAGCGGUGAAGGGAGCUUGCUCCUGGAUUCAGCGGCGGACGGGUGAGUAAUGCCUAGGAAUCUGCCUGGUAGUGGGGGAUAACGUCCGGAAACGGGCGCUAAUACCGCAUACGUCCUGAGGGAGAAAGUGGGGGAUCUUCGGACCUCACGCUAUCAGAUGAGCCUAGGUCGGAUUAGCUAGUUGGUGGGGUAAAGGCCUACCAAGGCGACGAUCCGUAACUGGUCUGAGAGGAUGAUCAGUCACACUGGAACUGAGACACGGUCCAGACUCCUACGGGAGGCAGCAGUGGGGAAUAUUGGACAAUGGGCGAAAGCCUGAUCCAGCCAUGCCGCGUGUGUGAAGAAGGUCUUCGGAUUGUAAAGCACUUUAAGUUGGGAGGAAGGGCAGUAAGUUAAUACCUUGCUGUUUUGACGUUACCAACAGAAUAAGCACCGGCUAACUUCGUGCCAGCAGCCGCGGUAAUACGAAGGGUGCAAGCGUUAAUCGGAAUUACUGGGCGUAAAGCGCGCGUAGGUGGUUCAGCAAGUUGGAUGUGAAAUCCCCGGGCUCAACCUGGGAACUGCAUCCAAAACUACUGAGCUAGAGUACGGUAGAGGGUGGUGGAAUUUCCUGUGUAGCGGUGAAAUGCGUAGAUAUAGGAAGAACACCAGUGGCGAAGGCGACUCACCUGG